rnacentral:rRNA from 1 species
AGAGUUUGAUCAUGGCUCAGGAUGAACGCUAGCGGCAGGCUUAAUACAUGCAAGUCGUGGGGCAGCAUGUCCCGCAGCAAUGCGGGAUGAUGGCGACCGGCAAACGGGUGCGGAACACGUACACAACCUUCCUUCGAGUGGGGAAUAGCCCGGGGAAACCCGGAUUAAUACCCCGUAACAUAAUGGAGUGGCAUCACUUUAUUAUUAUAGCUCCGGCGCUUGAAGAUGGGUGUGCGACUGAUUAGGCAGUUGGCGGGGUAACGGCCCACCAAACCUACGAUCAGUAACUGGUGUGAGAGCACGACCAGUCACACGGGCACUGAGACACGGGCCCGACUCCUACGGGAGGCAGCAGUAAGGAAUAUUGGUCAAUGGACGCAAGUCUGAACCAGCCAUGCCGCGUGGAGGAUGAAGGCCCUCUGGGUUGUAAACUUCUUUUAUCUGGGACGAAAAAGGGACUUUCUAGUUCAACUGACGGUACCAGAGGAAUAAGCACCGGCUAACUCCGUGCCAGCAGCCGCGGUAAUACGGAGGGUGCAAGCGUUAUCCGGAUUCACUGGGUUUAAAGGGUGCGUAGGUGGGUUGGUAAGUCAGUGGUGAAAUCUCCAGGCUUAACUUGGAAACUGCCAUCGAUACUAUUAAUCUUGAAUGCCGUGGAGGUCAGCGGAAUAUGUCAUGUAGCGGUGAAAUGCUUAGAUAUGACAUAGAACACCAAUUGCGAAGGCAGCUGGCUACACGAAUAUUGACACUGAUGCACGAAAGCGUGGGGAUCAAACAGGAUUAGAUACCCUAGUAGUCC